rnacentral:rRNA from 1 species
AUUGAACGCUGGCGGCAGGCCUAACACAUGCAAGUCGAGCGGAGCGGCGGACGGGUGAGUAAUACCUAGGACUCUGCAAGCUAGCCGGGGAAAACGUCCGAAAACGGGCGCUAACACCGCAUAAUCUCAUAAUAGCCUUGGUCGGAUAGGCUAGUUGGUGGGUUAAAGGCAUACCAAGGCUACGGUCAGAACCUGGUCUGAGAGGAUGAUCAGUCAAACGGUAACUGAGACACGGUCAAGACGCCAACGGGAGGCAGAAGUGGGGAAUAUUGGAAAAUGGGGGAAAGCCUGCUCCGGCCCUGCCGCUUGUGUGAAGCAGGCCUUCGGUUUGUAAAGUACUUUAAGUUGGACGGCGUUACCAAGAUAGAAAGCAGCGGCUAACUUCGUGCCAGCAGCCGCGGUAAUUC